UACGAAGGGGGCUAGCGUUGUUCGGAAUUACUGGGCGUAAAGCGUGCGCAGGCGGCUUCUCAAGUCAGGGGUGAAAGCCCAGAGCUCAACUCUGGAACUGCCUUUGAGACUGAGAGGCUUGAGUACGGGAGAGGUGAGUGGAACUGCGAGUGUAGAGGUGAAAUUCGUAGAUAUUCGCAAGAACACCAGUGGCGAAGGCGGCUCACUGGCCCGGUACUGACGCUGAGGUGCGAAAGCAUGGGGAGCGAACGGG
rnacentral:rRNA from 1 species